rnacentral:rRNA from 1 species
AUUGAACGCUGGCGGCAUGCCUUACACAUGCAAGUCGAACGGCAGCACGGGUGCUUGCACCUGGUGGCGAGUGGCGAACGGGUGAGUAAUACAUCGGAACACGUCCUGUAGUGGGGGAUAGCCCGGCGAAAGCCGGAUUAAUACCGCAUACGAUCCACGGAUGAAAGCGGGGGACCUUCGGGCCUCGCGCUAUAGGGUUGGCCGAUGGCUGAUUAGCUAGUUGGUGGGGUAAAGGCCUACCAAGGCGACGAUCAGUAGCUGGUCUGAGAGGACGACCAGCCACACUGGGACUGAGACACGGCCCAGACUCCUACGGGAGGCAGCAGUGGGGAAUUUUGGACAAUGGGCGAAAGCCUGAUCCAGCAAUGCCGCGUGUGUGAAGAAGGCCUUCGGGUUGUAAAGCACUUUUGUCCGGAAAGAAAUCCUUGACUCUAAUACAGUCGGGGGAUGACGGUACCGGAAGAAUAAGCACCGGCUAACUACGUG